AGUUGUACGACUGGCGGAAAACAGCAAUGCUGUGGUGGGACAACCCACAGGGAGUACAAAAAUAGAGAGAAAGCCGACCGCCUGGGCACCA
rnacentral:ncRNA from 1 species